GCAGGCCAUGUUUAACCAGUUCAUUUAAAUUGCACUCCAUAAAUUCAGACAUAUGUCUCUCCAAGAACCAUCCAUAACGUUGGCACCGAGUCCUUCAGGGAAGUCGCUUACGUGCCACUUUGAUACAAAGGAGGAAGAUGCACGUGGAGUCGAUUCUAUCUGUGAUGAAAAGCUUUGCGCUCUGCAAACCUUUCUGAGGAAGUUUCAUGAGGUCCACAGAGAAUGAGCUCCUUUGGGUUUGUAUACAAAAUUGGAUAAUCAACAGAAGAAUGAAACAGCUUGCCAGAGAAGACCACAAACAGGCUGAUCUAACGCUCAAUACAGAAUCACGCCCACGGUGACUACAAUGAGCCCUCCUCUCUUCUUGUCUUGGCCGUGACUUUUCACACGCUUGACACCCCUCUUCCUGUCUCCUCGGGGCCUCUAGAGUUGACCUUAUAUUUCCCCACCAUGCUGAGGAAAACUCUGGACUAGAUUAUAACAGGACCGCUAGUAUCCCCAAACUACUCCCUUUCGUGUUCCCUAUGCCAUGACCAGAGGCUAGUGGAUCGCCUCUCUUUUCAGUCCUCCACUACAGCCUUUCUUUUCUUUGCAAAAUGUCACUUUUCCUCAGGGAUUUUCUAAGUGCCAAAGCCCUGUCUCCACUUCAAGCCUUGGAUUCCACUCCAAGAAAAGCAAUGACCAGACACUGAGGUCUGCUCUGCUCAAACUCCUGCCUUGCACUCUUUCCUUUCUUUUUU